rnacentral:rRNA from 1 species
UUAAGCGACUAAGCGUACACGGUGGAUGCCCUGGCAGUCAGAGGCGAUGAAGGACGUGCUAAUCUGCGAAAAGCGUCGGUAAGGUGAUAUGAACCGUUAUAACCGGCGAUGUCCGAAUGGGGAAACCCAGUGCAAUUCGUUGCACUAUCGUUAACUGAAUACAUAGGUUAACGAGGCGAACCGGGGGAACUGAAACAUCUAAGUACCCCGAGGAAAAGAAAUCAACCGAGAUUCCCCCAGUAGCGGCGAGCGAACGGGGAGCAGCCCAGAGUCUGAAUCAGCUUGUGUGUUAGUGGAACGGUCUGGAAAGUCCGACGGUACAGGGUGAUAGUCCCGUACACCAAAAUGCACAGGUUGUGAACUCGAAGAGUAGGGCGGGACACGUGGUAUCCUGUCUGAAUAUGGGGGGACCAUCCUCCAAGGCUAAAUACUCCUGACUGACCGAUAGUGAACCAGUACCGUGAGGGAAAGGCGAAAAGAACCCCGGCGAGGGGAGUGAAAAAGAACCUGAAACCGUGUACGUACAAGCAGUGGGAGCACCUUCGGGUGUGACUGCGUACCUUUUGUAUAAUGGGUCAGCGACUUAUAUUCUGUAGCAAGGUUAACCGUAUAGGGGAGCCGCAGGGAAACCGAGUCUUAACUGGGCGUUAAGUUGCAGGGUAUAGACCCGAAACCCGGUGAUCUAGCCAUGGGCAGGUUGAAGGUUGGGUAACACUAACUGGAGGACCGAACCGACUAAUGUUGAAAAAUUAGCGGAUGACUUGUGGCUGGGGGUGAAAGGCCAAUCAAACCGGGAGAUAGCUGGUUCUCCCCGAAAGCUAUUUAGGUAGCGCCUCGUGAAUUCAUCUUCGGGGGUAGAGCACUGUUUCGGCUAGGGGGUCAUCCCGACUUACCAACCCGAUGCAAACUACGAAUACCGAAGAAUGUUAUCACGGGAGACACACGGCGGGUGCUAACGUCCGUCGUGAAGAGGGAAACAACCCAGACCGCCAGCUAAGGUCCCAAAGUCAUGGUUAAGUGGGAAACGAUGUGGGAAGGCACAGACAGCCAGGAUGUUGGCUUAGAAGCAGCCAUCAUUUAAAGAAAGCGUAAUAGCUCACUGGUCGAGUCGGCCUGCGCGGAAGAUGUAACGGGGCUAAACCAUGCACCGAAGCUGCGGCAGCGACACUAUGUGUUGUUGGGUAGGGGAGCGUUCUGUAAGCCUGCGAAGGUGUGCUGUGAGGCAUGCUGGAGGUAUCAGAAGUGCGAAUGCUGACAUAAGUAACGAUAAAGCGGGUGAAAAGCCCGCUCGCCGGAAGACCAAGGGUUCCUGUCCAACGUUAAUCGGGGCAGGGUGAGUCGACCCCUAAGGCGAGGCCGAAAGGCGUAGUCGAUGGGAAACAGGUUAAUAUUCCUGUACUUGGUGUUACUGCGAAGGGGGGACGGAGAAGGCUAUGUUAGCCGGGCGACGGUUGUCCCGGUUUAAGCAUGUAGGCUGGUUAUCCAGGCAAAUCCGGAUAAUCAAGGCUGAGGUGUGAUGACGAGGCACUACGGUGCUGAAGUAACAAAUGCCCUGCUUCCAGGAAAAGCCUCUAAGCAUCAGGUAACAUCAAAUCGUACCCCAAACCGACACAGGUGGUCAGGUAGAGAAUACCAAGGCGCUUGAGAGAACUCGGGUGAAGGAACUAGGCAAAAUGGUGCCGUAACUUCGGGAGAAGGCACGCUGGUGUGUAGGUGAAGCCCCUGCGGGUGGAGCUGAGACCAGUCGAAGAUACCAGCUGGCUGCAACUGUUUAUUAAAAACACAGCACUGUGCAAACACGAAAGUGGACGUAUACGGUGUGACGCCUGCCCGGUGCCGGAAGGUUAAUUGAUGGGGUUAUCCGUAAGGAGAAGCUCUUGAUCGAAGCCCCGGUAAACGGCGGCCGUAACUAUAACGGUCCUAAGGUAGCGAAAUUCCUUGUCGGGUAAGUUCCGACCUGCACGAAUGGCGUAAUGAUGGCCAGGCUGUCUCCACCCGAGACUCAGUGAAAUUGAACUCGCUGUGAAGAUGCAGUGUACCCGCGGCAAGACGGAAAGACCCCGUGAACCUUUACUAUAGCUUGACACUGAACAUUGAGCCUUGAUGUGUAGGAUAGGUGGGAGGCUUUGAAGCGUGGACGCCAGUCUGCGUGGAGCCAACCUUGAAAUACCACCCUUUAAUGUUUGAUGUUCUAACGUUGGCCCCUGACCGGGGUUGCGGACAGUGUCUGGUGGGUAGUUUGACUGGGGCGGUCUCCUCCCAAAGCGUAACGGAGGAGCACGAAGGUUAGCUAAUCCUGGUCGGACAUCAGGAGGUUAGUGCAAUGGCAUAAGCUAGCUUGACUGCGAGCGUGACGGCGCGAGCAGGUGCGAAAGCAGGUCAUAGUGAUCCGGUGGUUCUGAAUGGAAGGGCCAUCGCUCAACGGAUAAAAGGUACUCCGGGGAUAACAGGCUGAUACCGCCCAAGAGUUCAUAUCGACGGCGGUGUUUGGCACCUCGAUGUCGGCUCAUCACAUCCUGGGGCUGAAGUAGGUCCCAAGGGUAUGGCUGUUCGCCAUUUAAAGUGGUACGCGAGCUGGGUUUAGAACGUCGUGAGACAGUUCGGUCCCUAUCUGCCGUGGGCGCUGGAGAAUUGAGGGGGGCUGCUCCUAGUACGAGAGGACCGGAGUGGACGCAUCACUGGUGUUCGGGUUGUCAUGCCAAUGGCACUGCCCGGUAGCUAAAUGCGGAAGAGAUAAGUGCUGAAAGCAUCUAAGCACGAAACUUGCCCCGAGAUGAGUUCUCCCUGAGACUUUAAGUCUCCUGAAGGAACGUUGAAGACGACGACGUUGAUAGGCCGGGUGUGUAAGCGCAGCGAUGCGUUGAGCUAACCGGUACUAAUGAACCGUGAGGCUUAACCUU